GAGUUUGAUCCUGGGCUCAGGAUGAACGCUGGCGGCGUGUCUAAGGCAUGCAAGUCGAACGAGUACGGCCCGCAAGGGUCGUGCUAGUGGCAAACGGGUGAGUAACACAUUGGUAACCUACCCCAAAGUGUGGAACAACCCUCCGAAAGGAGGGCUAAUACCACAUGUCGUUUUCUGACAUAUGUCAGAAAAAGAAAGGUCCGCAAGGAUCGCUUUGGGAGGGGCCUAUGGCUUAUCAGCUAGUUGGUGAGGUAAUGGCUCACCAAGGCUAUGACGAGUAGCGGGCGUGAGAGCGCGACCCGCCUCAGUGGAACUGAGACACUGUCCACACUCCUACGGGAGGCUGCAGUCGAGAAUAUUCCCCAAUGGACGAAAGUCUGAGGGAGCGACGCCGCGUGCAGGAUGAAGGCCUUCGGGUUGUAAACUGCUUUUCUCUGGGAUGAACACUGACCGUACCAGAGGAAUAAGAGGUUGCUAACUCUGUGCCAGCAGCAGCGGUAAUACAGAGACCUCUAGCGUUAUCCGGAUUUACUGGGCGUAAAGGGUCCGCAGGUGGUUUUGUAAGUCUUCGGUUAAAUUCUUGAGCUCAACUCGAGAACCGCCGAGGAAACUAUAAGACUAGAGACUGGGAGAGGCAAGCGGAAUUGCCGGUGUAGUAGUAAAAUGCGUUAAUAUCGGCAAGAACACCAAAUGCGAAGGCAGCUUGCUAGAACAGUUCUGACACUCAGGGACGAAAGCGUGGGGAGCGAUACGGAUUAGAUACCCGUGUAGUCCACGCCCUAAACGAUGGGUACUGGGCAUUGGGAGUAUCGACCCUCUCAGUGCCGUAUACUAAAGCUAACGCGUUAAGUACCCCGCCUGGGGGAGUACGGCCGCAAGGCUAAAACUCAAAGGAAUUGACGGGAACCCGCACAAGCGGUGGAGCAUGUGGUUCAAUUCGACAAUAAGCGUGGAACCUUACCAGGGCUUGACAUGCUGGAAGUAUUCCCCCGGAAACGGGAAAUGACCGUUAAAUCGGAUUCCA
rnacentral:rRNA from 1 species